CAUGUCAAAUUUAUGAUUGUGAUGUUUAAUCUGUGUUUAUUUUCAUCCUCUGUAGUUUUUACCUCUGACAUUGCAAUUGGCAUUUCUGCAAGUAUGGUUUGAGUUUUAAAGAAGUAUCUUACAUGCCUCUACUUAUUGUCUCAAGCUUUUUAGGGGGUACAGUCAUUUCCUUACAAACAGAACCCUUUUGGUUCUUCUUUUAGAUUUUGGGUAAUUUCCCACUCCUGAGGCAAGAGUUUUCUGAUUAUUUAUUGUCCUGUGAAGUAUGAGUUUUUGGGCCUGGCUCCUGGGAAUGGACCCUCUUCUGGGCACUUCGAGAACAGCAGACAUUGUUUCUCCUAAUCUUGUUCUAUUGUUUACCCUGCUGCCUUGGUCUUAGGAAGUUUCCUAGCACACAUGCAUUUUUUUCAUUAUUCUAUUAAAUACUUUAGAGGGGACCUCUGCAGAUGUCCAGGGUUUCUUUCCGCCGCUGCUUUCUCCUCUCAAGUGUUCUGUCCUGUGAUUUCUCUCUGCUUUCAUUUUACCAGACUCUUAGCGUCACCACCCCAGCUCAGGGAAUCUGUCAGAUUUUCUCCCUUUGUCAUGGCCUUGGAGCUCUGUCCACACAAAAAGCUGGGACUUUUGUAAGGCCUACAUUUGUUUCUUGUCUUUCAGUGAUUACCAUCCUUGUUACAGAAGUCCAUUGUGUUGAAAGGCAUUGUUUCAUGUAUUUUGCCUGGUUGUUUUUGGCUUCAGGUAAGAAAGAAAAUCAGCACCCGUUGCUCCCUCUUGGCUGGAAGCAGAUUGCAGCAGAGCUCCAGAACAUGCAUCAGACUAGCCAGAGUGCUCUGCUUUCUCCUUUGCUCAACUGCUUCCUUCUCAUUUUUCAUUUCUCAGUGUAGCCUUCUCUUCCUCAGGGAAAUCUUCCCUUGGCCAAUUAUAGGUCAAAUUCUCUUAUGUGAUUAUAAAACUAUGUAUUCUUAAAGCAGCUAUCUGAAUUUAUAUUUGUCACCUUUGUCUUUGUUCUUCACUAUGCUUUAAGCUAAACAAGGUCAGACGUGUUGUCUGUUUUAUCUGAAGAUCUUUCUAUAUAUUUUCCACACUGCAGGCAGUCAAUAUAUGCAUACUCAUUCAGUGUAUGAAUGAGUGCCACGUUGAUAUCCACAGUACUUUAUAUCUAAAACCCUACUCAUGUAUUUUAUCUCUAUUUUAUUUUCCCUUGGUUACAGAUUUUGUUAGCCUAUUGAAAAUCAAGAAUGCAAUAUCUGCACAUGAAAGAUUAAUAGAACAUAAAAUACAUUACUGUGAACAACUUACUGUGAAAUUUCAAAAAAUGAAAAAUGAGAUUAGUAAACUACGAAAGGAACUGUCUGAAAUAGACAAAACCAAAUCACAGAUAGAGCAUCAGAAACCUGAUUGGAAACAAGAGCUCCAUAUUUUAAGAUUAAUCUUACAACAACAAGAAGAAAAAAGAAGAAAGCCUGAAAAGUAUGAAAAAGGUAUAGAAAAGUUCAAAAUAAUGGAAGAGCAAUAUUGGACACAAGCCAGAGUGAAAAACCUACUUAAGCUGACUCACAAAUCAUUGAAUAUAGAAUUGAAGACUGUAAGAAAUAAUUUAAAUCAGAGUUCUUUUACCCAUGAAAAAGAAAGAGACCUGUGGCAGAAAAAUCACUUGAUGCGGGUUGAAAUUGCCAGACUCAGGCUAGAAAUAGACACAAUAAAACAUCAGAACCAGGAAAUUGAAAAUAUGUAUUUCAAGGAUAUUGAAAUUAUAAAGAAAAAGAAUGAAGACCUUGAAAAGACUCUAAAGCUGAAUGAGGAAACAUUAACAAAAACAAUAAACUGGUAUAGUGAAGAGCUUAAUGGUCUGACAUUGGAUAAGAAUACAGUGCUCAAUUCUGAGCUAGAGAAGGAAAAACAAAGAAAGCAAAGACUGGAAACAGAAUUGGAAUUAUACAGUCGUAGACUGGCUGCUGCUCUAUGUGAUCGUGAUCAAAGUCAGUCAUCAAAAAGAGACCUACAGCUUGCUUUCCAGAACACAGUAAAUCAGUGGUGUCAUUUACAAGAAAAUAUGAAUUCUCACAUUCAGAUUCUUUCUCAGCAACUUUCUAAAGCUGAGAGUAAAUCCAGAGGCCUGGAAACUGAGCUCCAUUGCGAAAGAGAGGCUCUCAAGGAAAAGACGUUGGCUAUAGAACACAUGCAAGGAGUCAUAAGCCAAGCACAGUGUCGAAUGAAGGCCUUUGAACACAUGUACCAAAAUGACCAACAUAUAGUGGAAAAAUAUGUGAGAAAGCAGCAAUCUGUACAGGACGGACUAUUUCAAAUACAAAGCCAAAAUUCAUUGCAUCAACAGCAACUUAAUGAUGCUCACAAGAAAGCUGACAAUCAGGAAAAAACAAUAAUUGAUAUCCAAGCCAAAUGUGAAGAUACUGUAGAGAAACUUCAAGCUGAGUGUAGAAAGCACUGUAUUCUGCUAGAAGAGAACAACAAGGGGUUGAUAGAGGAAUAUACUCUUUUAAAAGAAAGGCAAUGCCAGUAUGAAAAAGAGAAAGAAGAAGGACAAGUAGUUGUGAGAAAACUCAAACGAGAGCUUGGUGAUGUCCUGAACAAACAGUCACUGGCAGAAGUUGCAAGAAACCCAGGAUCAACUCACAGAGACUCUAAGAUAUGAUGAGGAGAUUCCAGACAACGUGCAAAACAGGUGUGCAAGAAAACAUAACUGCAGAAGUAGAUGAAGAGUUACUGUGUAUUUAUGUGUCAUCUACAUGCCAUGGAAGUCUUAAAAUCAGUUGUCAGUUUCUACAAAAUACCUGCUUGGAUUUGGACUGGGAUUGCAUUAUGUCAUAGGAAAGAAUGAACAUCUUAAUAAUGUUGAGUUUUUCAACCUAUGAAUAAGGUGUUUUCUUAGAACUUAUUUGAUUUUUCUCCUCAAUACUUUUUGGUUAUCGUUGUACAGGUAUUUUGCAUAGUAUGUCAGAUAUAUUCCCAAGAAUUUUAUAUUUUAAUGCUAUUAUAAAUAGUAUUAUUUUUAAAAUUUAAAUUCCUAACAGUUUAUUUGUAACAUAUAGAAUUACAAUUGAUUUUUGUAUGUCAAUCAUGUGUCCUGCAAUAUGGGAAAACUCACUCACUGGUGUCAGUAAUGUUGCAAUGGAUUUCACCUGGUUUUCUACACAGAUGAUUAUGUCUGUGAAUAAAGACAAUUUUACUUAUUUCUUUUCAGUCUAGAUGCCAUUUAUUUUCCUCCCUCCCUUCCUCUCUUCCACUCUUCCUUGCUUCCUUCCCUCCUUUCUUCCUUCUCCUGACUCCCUUUUAAAAGUGAUUACAGUGGCUCGAAUUUCCAGUACAUUGUUGAAUAGAAGUGGUAAGAGCUGACAUGCAAGUCUUAUUCUUGGUCUUAGGGGAAAACAUUCAGUCUUUCAUCAUUAUGUAAGAUGUUAGCAUUACGUAUUUUUAAAAAGCCUUUUGACAUAUUCAGGAAAUUCUCCUGUAUUCACAGUUUGCUGAGAUUUUUUUUUUUUUCUUGGAGAUGGAGUUUCACUCUCAUUGCCCAGGCUGGAGUGUAGUGGCCCAAUCUCAGCUCACCACAACCUCCGCCUCCCAGGUUCAAGCGAUUCUCCUGCCUCAGCCUCAUGAAUAGGUGGGAUUAGAGGCAAGCACCACCACACCAGCUAAUUUUGUAUCUUUUUAGUAGAGACAGGGUUUCUCCAUGUUGGUCAGGAUGGUGUCAAUAUCCCAACCUCAGGUGAUUUGCCUGCCUCAACCUCCCAAAGUCCUGGGAUUACAUGUGUGAACCACCGCACCUGGCCCCACUGAGAUUAUUUUUUUAAUGAAAAAUGUUCAAUUUUCUCAUGUUUUUUCUGUAUCUAAUACAUACGGUUUUUAUUUUUUAAUAUUGUUAAUAUAAGAUUGAUUUGGGGGAGAAGGUUAAGUUCAUAUUUUUAAUUCAAAGUAAUUUUUAAAUGUAGCUUUUUCUUGAAAUUUUUUAGUUUAAAUCUUCUGUUUAAAAGACUAAGCAUUGUCAAUUAUUUUUUAAACUUCUGGUGAAAUAUAUAUAAUAUAAAAUUUCACAUUUCAACAAUUUUUAGCUCCAUAGUUCAAUAGCAUUAAAUACAUUUACAAUGUCGUACAAUAAUCAACAUUAUUAAUUUCUAGAACUUUUCAUAAUCCCUAACAGAAACUCUGUAUGCAUUAAAUAAUAUCUUCCCAUAGUCUCUCUCCUUAUCCCUAGUAACCUCUAUUAUACUUUCUGUCUCUGUGAAUUUACCCAUGCCAGGUAUAGUAUAUAAGUAAAAUCAUGAUAUAGUGGCUUUUUGUGUCUGGGUUAUUUCACUUACCAUAAUGUUUUCAAGGCUCAUCUGUAUUGUACAGCAUGUAUCAGUAGAUUGUUUCCUCUUAUUUGUGAUUAAUAUUCUAUUGCAGAGAAAUACCACAUUUUAUUUAACAGUUGAUGGACAUUUGUAUUGUUUCCAGGUUUUUACUAUUAUGAAUAAUGCACUAUGGACAUGUAUGUAGACAUGUUUCUCUUGGGUAACCACUCAGGUGGGAAUCUAAGUCAAAUGGUAACUAUGUUUAAUCUCAAGAAACUGUCAGGCUGUUGAUUCAAUACAGCUGUAUAAUUUUACAUUUCCAGGAGCAGUGUUUGAGGGUUCCAAUUUCUCCACAUCUUUUGCAGUAUUUUUUUUCAUCUUUUUUAUUACAGGCAUUCUAGUGGUGUUAAGUGGUACCUCGUUGUUUUGAUUUGCGUUUCCCUUUGAUGUUGAGCAUGACUUACUUCUUGUGGUUACUGGCCAGUUGUCAUUUCUUAGAUGAAAUACCUGGUCAUUAUCUUUUGUCCAUGUUUUAACUGAUUGCCUUUUUCUUGUUGAUUUGUAAGAUUUCUUUAUAUAUUCUGAACAAGAAUGUAUUUUUUUACAGAUUUUUUAAUAAACUUCGUUCUAAAUCUAAUAUUA